rnacentral:ribozyme from 12 species
UAGAUGAACGGAACAAGAAAUGAAAAUAGAUUUUGAUUUAAUAUCAACUAAAUUUUUUUUUUAACAAAAAAAAAAAAAAAAAAAAAAAAAAAAAA